rnacentral:rRNA from 1 species
AGCAGCCGCGGUAAUUCCAGCUCCAAUAGCGUAUAUUAAAGUUGUUGCAGUUAAAAAGCUCGUAGUUGAAUUUCGGGAUUGGCGUACCGGUCGUGUCUUCGGGCAUGUACUGGUAAUGUUAAUCUCCACCUUCUAGUGAACUAUUAUGCCUUUCACUAGGUGUAAUAGGGAGCUAGGACUGUUACUUUGAAAAAAUUAGAGUGUUUAAAGCAGGCUUUAUGCUUGAAUAGAUUAGCAUGGAAUAACGAAAUAGGACGGCAUGAUUCUAUUUUGUUGGUUUCUAGGAUCACCGUAAUGAUUAAUAGGGAUAGUUGGGGGCAUUAGUAUUCAAUUGUCAGAGGUGAAAUUCUUGGAUUUAUUGAAGACUAACUACUGCGAAAGCAUUUGCCAAGGAUGUUUUCAUUAAUCAAGAACGAAAGUUAGGGGAUCGAAGACGAUCAGAUACCGUCGUAGUCUUAACCAUAAACUAUGCCGACUAGGAAUCAGACUCAGUUUUAUUUUUUAAUGACGUAGUUUGGCA